rnacentral:snRNA from 1 species
GGAUGUGAGGCCCUCUGGCUGUGACGUCUAUCACCCCACUGAUCACUAGGAUUGACUCAGCUGAUCGGGCUGGUGAGGCGGAUGCUCCCCUCCUCCCUCAGCCUUCUGAGUGUGUCACCAAAGCUGGGCACUCAAAGAGGACGAGCACCCCCGAAGGAGGUCAAGGAUAUACAAGUAGCUGCACUGCCCUGCUAGAACCUCCAAACAAACUCUUAAAAAAAAAAAAAAAAACAUUUUCUAAUUUCAGAAAAGAAUAUAAAGCAGAAUACUAUUAUUU